rnacentral:misc_RNA from 1 species
GAAUCGAAGGCAUUGGGACUU